GACGAACGCUGGCGGCGUGCUUAACACAUGCAAGUCGAACGGAAAGGCCCCUUUGGGGGUACUCGAGUGGCGAACGGGUGAGUAACACGUGAGUAACCUGCCCUUGACUUCGGGAUAACUUCAGGAAACUGGGGCUAAUACCGGAUAGGAAUCCUUGCUGCAUGGUGGGGGUUGGAAAGCUUCGGCGGUUUUGGAUGGACUCGCGGCUUAUCAGCUUGUUGGUGGGGUAGUGGCUUACCAAGGCUUUGACGGGUAGCCGGCCUGAGAGGGCGACCGGCCACAUUGGGACUGAGAUACGGCCCAGACUCCUACGGGAGGCAGCAGUGGGGAAUAUUGCACAAUGGGCGGAAGCCUGAUGCAGCAACGCCGCGUGCGGGAUGACGGCCUUCGGGUUGUAAACCGCUUUCAGCAGGGGCGAAGCUUGUGGUGACGGUACCUGCAGAAGAAGCACCGGCUAACUACAUG
rnacentral:rRNA from 1 species